AACGCGAAGAACCUUACCAAGGCUUGACAUAUACGAGAACGGGCCAGAAAUGGUCAACUCUUUGGACACUCGUAUACAGGUGGUGCAUGGUUGUCGUCAGCUCGUGUCGUGAGAUGUUGGGUUAAGUCCCGCAACGAGCGCAACCCUCGUUCUUUGUUGCCAGCACGUAAUGGUGGGAACUCAAAGGAGACUGCCGGGGUCAACUCGGAGGAAGGUGGGGAUGACGUCAAAUCAUCAUGCCCCUUAUGUCUUGGGCUUCACGCAUGCUACAAUGGCCGGUACAAAGGGCUGCAAUACCGCGAGGUGGAGCGAAUCCCAAAAAGCCGGUCUCAGUUCGGAUUGAGGUCUGCAACUCGACCUCAUGAAGUCGGAGUCGCUAGUAAUCGCAGAUCAGCAACGCUGCGGUGAAUACGUUCCCGGGCCUUGUACACACCG
rnacentral:rRNA from 1 species